rnacentral:rRNA from 1 species
GUCUAUGGUCAUACCACCCUAAAUGUGUCUGAUCUUGGAAGCUAAGCAGGGCUGUGCCAGGUUAGUAUUUGGAUGGGAGCCGCCUAGGUAUACCGAGUGCAGUAGGCU